rnacentral:rRNA from 1 species
AUUGAACGCUGGCGGCAGGCCUAACACAUGCAAGUCGAGCGGAUGAAGGGAGCUUGCUCCUGGAUUCAGCGGCGGACGGGUGAGUAAUGCCUAGGAAUCUGCCUUGUAGUGGGGGAUAACGUCCGGAAACGGGCGCUAAUACCGCAUACGUCCUGAGGUAGAAAGUGGGGGAUCUUCGGACCUCACGCUAUCAGCUGAGCCUAGGUCGGAUUAGCUAGUUGGUGGGGUAAAGGCCUACCAAGGCGACGAUCCGUAACUGGUCUGAGAGGAUGAUCAGUCACACUGGAACUGAGACACGGUCCAGACUCCUACGGGAGGCAGCAGUGGGGAAUAUUGGACAAUGGGCGAAAGCCUGAUCCAGCCAUGCCGCGUGUGUGAAGAAGGUCUUCGGAUUGUAAAGCACUUUAAGUUGGGAGGAAGGGAAGUAAGUUAAUACCUUGCUGUUUUGACGUUACCAACAGAAUAAGCACCGGCUAACUUCGUG